rnacentral:rRNA from 1 species
UUCGCCAGGGUACAACGAGCGCCUCUCCCCGCUUACAACCCAAAGGACUUGGCGGUGCUUUAUCUCCCCCUAGAGGAGCCUGUUUUAGAAUCGAUGCUCCCCGAUCAACCUCACCUUCUUUUGCCCUCAGCUUAUAUACUACCGUCGCCAGCUUACCCUGCAAAGGACUACGAGUAAGCAUAAUCGGUUAACCCCAGAACGUCAGGUCAAAGUGUAGCCAACAAGAAGGAUAAAAUGGGCUACAUUUUCUGACCCAGAAAACAAACGAACCACAUACUGAAAUGCAUGUGUGAAGGAGGAUUUAGUAGUAAGAUUAGAAUAGAGUGCUAAUCUGAAAUCGGCUCUAAAGCGUGC